rnacentral:rRNA from 1 species
UACGGAGGGUGCUAGCGUUGUCCGGAAUCAUUGGGCGUAAAGCGCGUGUAGGCGGCCCGGUAAGUCCGCUGUGAAAGUCCAGGGCUCAACCCUGGGAUGCCGGUUGAUACUGUCGGGCUCGAGUCCGGAAGAGGAGUGUGGAAUUCCUGGUGUAGCGGUGAAAUGCGCAGAUAUCAGGAGGAACACCAAUGGCGAAGGCAGCACUCUGGGACGUGACUGACGCUGAGACGCGAAAGCGUGGGGAGCAAACAGG